rnacentral:rRNA from 1 species
GUGGGGAAUAUUGCACAAUGGACGCAAGUCUGAUGCAGCGACGCCGCGUGGGGGAUGAAGACUUUCGGGUUGUAAACUCCUUUCGGUACAGAAGAAGCGAUCUUUUUGGUUGUGACGGUAUGUGCUAAAGAAGCGCCGGCUAACUACGUGCCAGCAGCCGCGGUAAUACGUAGGGCGCGAGCGUUGUCCGGAAUUAUUGGGCGUAAAGCGAGCGCAGGCGGUUUCUUAAGUCUGGUGUGAAAGCCUACGGCUUAACCGUAGAAGGUCAUUGGAAACUGGGAAACUUGAGUGCAGAAGAGGAAAGUGGAACUCCAUGUGUAGCGGUGGAAUGCGUAGAUAUAUGGAAGAACACCAGUGGCGAAGGCGGCUUUCUGGGCUGCAACUGACGCUGAGGCUCGAAAGCGUGGGGAGCGAACAGGAUUAGAUACCCUAGUAGUCC